GGAAUCUUCCACAAUGGGCGAAAGCCUGAUGGAGCAACGCCGCGUGAGUGAAGAAGGUUUUCGGAUCGUAAAACUCUGUUGGUAGAGAAGAACGUUGGUGAGAGUGGAAAGCUCAUCAAGUGACGGUAACUACCCAGAAAGGGACGGCUAACUACGUGCCAG
rnacentral:rRNA from 1 species